GUGCACUUGUGCACACUAGCACAGAGGGAAAAGGUAGGAAAAGAAAGUAGAUUUGGAUUCUGCUGCAUGGGAAACUACCAUAUGAUUACUGGGUUCGAGCCCAUUCAUUGGGCCCAAAUUAGCAACCACUUGUAAUCAACCAUCAGCCUUUAGAGUGUAAUGUACAAUACUAGCCAUGGGGCAAUUGCUUCUUGGAAUAAUGUAUUCAUCUCUUGAGUUAAAGGUAAACAACCACCACAGAUGCAGGAAUCUGACAGAUUAUGAAUCUGCUGCUAAUACUGCUGACUUCAGUCCCAGGCUACUCUGCCAUGAUCCAGAAAUAUGCCAAGUCUGCUCCAGGAAGCUGCUGAAUCAGGAAUCCACCUACCACAUUGGGCAGUCACUGCUAGCUGCCACCUCGGCCUUGAUCCUCGCCAGCAAAAUAUAUGCCUCAAACUUGGCUUUUUUCGUCUGUUUGAUUCAGAUUCUAAACAUUCUUGCAGGAGUAUGAAGGAACGUAAAUCAUGUUCUAGCCUCCAAUGUGUCUGAGAAAUGUAGUUUAACUUUCCAGCUGCUUCAUGUUACCGGUAGGUUAGAAUGGAUGUUGUAUAAAGCAAUUUAGGGUAUUGGACACAGCAUAAUAACGAAAAGACAGGUUCCAUUAAGACAAAUUCUUUGGUGUUUCCAAACCUUCCGUGAGCUAUCAGGAAGAGAAAGUCCUCGUAUAAGUGCCACAAAAUGAUAUACAAAUAAAAAUAAUUGUAUGCAUGCUUCCUUUCCAUCCAU
rnacentral:lncRNA from 1 species